UCAGGGAAGAAGGGAAUGCCAUUCGAAGUGAGCUGAAACAAAUAGGUGAUACUGAAAAGAAAUCAGUAGUUGUAUUGGAGUUCUGUAAUGUUAAUUUAUAGCAAGGUUAUUUUUCUAUUGCAGAUAUCUGGCCUAGCUUCUCAGGUAAAGAAGAAGAUAUACUAACACCCUCUUGAUGAUUGUGAACUAUGGUGUUCCUAUCUAACUGUCCAAUGCCAGC
rnacentral:sRNA from 1 species